rnacentral:rRNA from 1 species
AUUGAACGCUGGCGGCAGGCCUAACACAUGCAAGUCGAACGGUAACAGGAAGACGCUUGCUUCUUUGCUGACGAUUGGCGGACGGUUGAGUAAUGUCUGGGAAACUGCCUGAUGGAGGGGGCUACCUACUGGAAACGGUAGCUAAUACCGCAUAACGUCGCAAGACCAAAGAGGGGGACCUUCGGGCCUCUUGCCAUCUGAUGUGCCCAGAUGGGAUUAGCUAGUAGGUGGGGUAACGGCUCACCUAGGCGACGAUCCCUAGCUGGUCUGAGAGGAUGACCAGCCACACUGGAACUGAGACACGGUCCAGACUCCUAAGGGAGGCAGCAGUGGGGAAUAUUGGACAAUGGGCGCGAGCCUGAUGCAGCCAUGGCGCGUGUAUGAAGAAGGACUUCGGGUUGUAAAGAACUAUCAGAGGGGAGGAAGGGAGUAAAGUUAAUACCUUUACAGAUUGACGUUACACGCAGAAGAAGAACCGGCUAACUCCGUG